UUUAAAUGUAAAAUUUAUUACUAAAGUAGUAUUAGUUAUGUUCUUUAAAUUUAAAGAUUUUGGCGGUAUUUUAGUCUAUUUAGAGGAACCUGUUCUAUGAUUGAUAAUCCACGAUUAACUUUACUUAUUUUAUAAAUUUGUAUACCGUCGUUAUUAGAAAAUUUUAUUAGAAUAUAAAUUUUUAAUAUUUUAUAUUAAAAAAUAUAUCAGAUCAAGGUGCAGUAUAUAUUUAAGAAGAAAUGGGUUACAAUAAAUAUAUUUAUAUGGAUUAAAAAAAGAAUAUUUUUUAUAAAAGUGGAUUUAAUAGUAAUAAAAUUAAUUUAAAUUUUAUGAUUUUAGCUCUAAAAUAUGU
rnacentral:rRNA from 1 species